CCCACAUCAUCAUCAUCUUCUUCUUCUUCUUCUUCUUUAUUUUUUUUUUCUCUGUUGCUGCAACGCAGCUCACUCUCUCUCUCUCUCCUCACGUUCUCUCUCUCUCUCUCUCCUCGAUUUCGUGACGGAUUUUCGCCCGAUCGAAAAUCCGAAGAUACCACUGGACUCCAUUCGCUGCUGCCGUCGUUUCUACUGAAGCAGAUCGGUGAUAGGAGCGGCAUAAGCAUAUUCCUUGGGGAAUUAAAUUUCGGGCGCCAAGGGCGUGAAAUUUUGGGUCCUAAGGAAGUUCUUAAUAGUCAGGAGUCCCUGAGAGACCGGCGGGUCAAGGCCGCCGUUGAGAUUAGUGAGAUUAUCCCGUGAGGAGGGUAAGAUUUUGUACUAGGGUUAGAAUUAUUUUGUGUUUGACCCUAGAGAUAUUUUGAUGUAUGUGAGGAUGUAUAGAAUGCUCUGGUAUUAUAUUUUAUGACUGGAUGUUUGAGAUUUUAUGUGUACUGCUGCUAGGUUUUCCGCUGUGUAUGACAGGUGUCCCCGCUACCCACGGGUUCGGGUUGACCAUUUUAUUUAGUAUGUGAUAUUUUAUGUUAAGAAAUUGAGGGACGUUACACGCCGCGCACCACUCGAAGACACAGAUUGUGGUCCCCCUUCGCCUACUCCAAGUUUGGGCUUGAGAGAGAUUUCCUUUAUUCGUGCCUACGCGGCGAGGUUUCCUGCAAAUUGAGAGGGGUCAGGUUGGUCGUCCGGUUGAUCCUCUCCCACUCCCAUACCGGUGGAGGGACGACUUGAGGGCAUCGAUGGUUACGCUUCACAUAUUGCCCUGGUACAGGUUCAAGUUAGACAUGCACCGGGAGCAUGAGUUUUUAUGGAUGCCCUACAAGAAAGAGAUUUUAGCCGACCUGCCGCCUGACUAUGCAGAUGGGAGGGACCUAUGGAUAGCUCGAGUGCCACUCAUAUGCUUUCAUAUUAUUGAGUGGUAUCUCCCCAAUCGAGUCAUGCGACAGUUCGGGUUUUGACAGGUCAUUCCCGUCCCAUUUAUGACGUCGGGGGUAGAUAUUGUUGGGGACGACCUCCACGGCAUGGAUGGGCGCAGUCGAGGGGUCACAGAAUGGUUGAGUACGCACGCGAUAUUCAUCACUACGUGGGAGCAUCGGCGAGACUACAUCAUACGAGGAGUGGUGGAGCACUGUCCGAUGCGUCUAGCUAACCCAUACUAUAAGUCUAUCACACGCCGCUUCGUCGACAGGACCGCUGCUGUAUAUUUGAGCCUCGCAAGAAAACUAAUGCCACAACUCAUUUUAUGAUAUAUACGUUCCGAUUUGAAUGCGUUAGUAAAAUAUGUUCAUAUCCUGCAGGCUAACAUAGUUAUUGAGGCAGACCAGAUCUCGUCAGAUCCUGCAAUCCACAAAUUGAUGAGUGCUGCACUGGACCUCGUCCACAAAGACGAUCGACGGAUCCCAGAAUGAGGAGGUCGACCUGAUGUACCAGCACGAGGAGGUCGACCAGCUCCAGUACGAGGAGGACGACAUGCCUCCUCUAGCCGUCCAGGGACUCCCAUGUCCUCCCCACCAAUCGUACAAGCAGAGUACUUGUUCGGCCCGUCAGCACCUUAUGCGCCUUCCACUGCAGCUGAUAUUGCCGGACCGUCGAGCAGACCGACUGAUGCCCCAUCCAACUUUGCUGCUACCCCAUCGAUGUCAUUUUUAUUAGACGAUCUUUUUGAUGGGGUAGAGGUCGAUGCACCCCCUAUGCCGCCUCGUUCUCGUCCCGAGACAUCGUAUCAGUUCUCACCUCGUGCGCUCUGCAUGGAUAAUGAUGAUUAUGCAGCACCUCUUGGGGGAGAGGAUCCACAUCCAGGAUGACGGGACAGGACACCUGAUGAUGCUGACCAACAGGGAGAGGGUAGACGCAGACGGCAGCCACCACGACUCCGGAGACGACCUCGCUGCGGCACGGAGUAGUUUAGCAUUAUUUUAAUUGCAUUUGAUUUGUUUGUAUAUCAUUGAUUGUUUUGAUUUCAUUUGUAUAUAAUUGAUUAUUUUUUUUAUUCUUUUGUAUAUAUCAUUUAAUAAUUCG